CGAUUACGGCCGGCCGGCGCGGGGCGGCGCCCGGAGCGGCCGCGAGGCCGGGGACCCGGCUGGGGAAGGCGCCGAGAGACCCGGUCCGGGACGGGGAGAGGCCCGAGACCCCCCACCUCCACGUACGCGAGGCCACCAACGGCUGGGGCCGAACCCACGCUCGCGGCGACCGGCGUUGCAGCCGCCUAGGAGCCAGUGGCGAGGCCGCCGCCCCCUCUGGGAAUCCGAGAGGCGCCGGCUAGAGCGUCCGCGGAGCCGCCAUCUCAGCUUUGACAGGUGAUCACUCGUCUCCCCAUUUCCGUUUCGAAAAUGAGUUCCAGAGAAGGCUGCUGGGAUCAUCCGACGAUGCCUUGAAGGAGAAAUGACAUCUUAACUCAUUCUCAAGAUGCCAGUCACGUGGCCGUGGCCAGGACUUCGGGGCGGCGGGCCGAGGACGACCAAGUGCUUUUGGAAAUGACUCCCCUGUCGGAUCAGCACAUUGCUCCCCUUGAAGCACAAAGGCUUAGGGGAGUCGUGUGCAAUCAGGCUGCCGUGUCCCCUGCCCCGCCCCCCUCCUCGGCCCCAGCUGUCCAGCCCAUCCUGUAUGAUCAGCGCUUACAUUAACGAGGCUGUGUCUG